rnacentral:rRNA from 1 species
AUUGAACGCUGGCGGCCGGCCUAACACAUGCAAGUCGAGCGAGCGGCGGACGGGUGAGUAAUGUAUGGGGACUGCCCGAUAGAGGGGGAUAACUACUGGAACCGGUAGCUAAUACCGCAUACUAUCGGAUAACCCAUAUGGGAUUAGCUAGUAGGUGAGGUAAUGGCUCACCUAGGCGACGAUCCCUAGCUGGUCUGAGAGGAUGAUCAGCAACACUGUGCAUGAGACACGGCCCAGACGCCUGCGGAGGCAGCAGGGGGGAAUAUUGCACAAUGGGCGCAAGCCUGAUGCAGCCAUGCCGCGUGUAUGAAGAAGGCCCUAGGGUUGUAAAGUACUUUCAGUCGGGAGGCGUGACCGACAGAAGAAGCACCGGCUAACUCCGUGCCAGCCGCCGCGGUAAUUC